rnacentral:lncRNA from 10 species
UGAAGUAGAGAGAUGUUAGUGAAGUCAUCCAGUGUCACACAGCUCAUAAGUAGAGGACUUAGGAUUUGAACGUUGUUCCCUCUGACUUCUAGAUGCCAAGUUAUACUUCAUGAUGUGAUGUAAACUGCCUAAAACUGCUUUUAAUUGGUAGACUUUGUUGAGUGUGUCACCAUCAACCACACACAAAAAAUGGAAACAUGUAUGAAUGACUCUUAAAGAAUUAAUAGAUUCAAGCCUGCUGAUUCCUUGUCAACAGGUCUACAUGAAGAAGAAAUGAUGGGACCAAACAAUCAGGAAGCAGGGAAGCACUGCACCAGCUCCUAACACAAGAGUGCAACAUGUUAUCCACUAGAUAUGACACAACCAGAUUGCCCCUACAGCCAAUGCUUCAGGAAGAAACAGCCUUAUACUCACAGAAGUUUGGUUCCUCAGGUAUCAGACAUUGAGAUGGAGUUUAGCACACAGGACACUUAUUAAGGCAUACUCUUGUGGUCAAUGUCUGUGGAAUGAAGGAAAACAAUGCAAGAAUACCCAGUUGAGGGAGAAGUUGAGCUGUGAUGCAGACCCAAAUCCUGCUUUAGCUGACCCCUAAGGAGGCCUCUGAGCCCAAGCCAAGCCAUCGCACCCCCUGUGACUUGCACGUAUAUGCCCAGAUGGCCUGAAGUAACUGAAGAAUCACAAAAGAAGUGAAAAUGCCCUGCCCCACCUUAACUGAUGACAUUCCACCACAAAAGAAGUGUAAAUGGCCAGUCCUUGCCUUAACUGAUGACAUUCCACCACAAAAGAAGUGAAAAUGGCCUGUUCCUGCCUUAACUGAUGACAUUAUCUUGUGAAAUUCCUUCUCCUGGCUCAUCCUGGCUCAAAAUCUCCCCUACUGAGCACCUUGUGACCCCCACUCCUGCCCGCCAGAGAACAACCCCCCUUUUUCCUUUACCUACCCAAAUCCUAUAAAACGGCCCCGCCCCUAUCUCCCUUCACUGACUCUCUUUUUGGAUUCAGCCCGCCUGCACCCAGGUGAAAUAAACAGCUUUAUUGCUCACACAAAGCCUGUUGGGUGGUCUCUUCACAUGGACACGAGUGAAAUUUGGUGCCGUGACUCAGAUCCAGGGACCUCCCUUGGGAGAUCAAUCCCCUGUCCUCCUGCUCUUUGCUCCAAGAGAAAGAUCCACCUACGACCUCAGGUCCUCAGACCGACCAGCCCAAGAAACGUUUCACCAAUUUCAAAUCCAAAAAGAAAACUGAGGCUGAAGAGGACAAAAACAUUGCGGAUGGUCAGAAAAAGUAGUCAGUGGAUGACACCAGAACACAAAUUAGCUGGAGGAAAAGAAUAAAAAGGAAAUUACUCUGCCCAGCUAUCAGCAACUGGGGAAGAAUAGGAGGAAUGUUGAUCACUCUCUAACAGAUUUGAUGCAGAUGAAUGCUGAGACACUCUGCUGGAAGUAGAUUAAAAACUUAGACAUCUCUGCACACCUCUACCUUUCCACCAUGGAGCCUCUGAGACACUUCAAGAAAACCCCUUUUUUUCUUCCCCAUUACCUUUCCCAUUGCUUUAUGUCCUCAGGUUAUAUUAGAAUUGUUAUUUUUUUUCCCUUUAAGCGUAAACACCAAAUAAACAUCAGUAAGACUACAGUGAAUUUUGUUGUUGUUGUUAAUUAUGUCAAAUAUGUUUAGUGAAUAUAAGUGAUCCCUGAAUUUGGAGGAAAGAUAUACAUUAAUCAGAAACUAUUAUAAAUUAGUGAAUUAGCA